CCGAUCCGCGCCGACCCGGUCCGGCCUUAAAAUUUGGGGUAUUUUGGGGUCGGGCCUUAAUUUUCUUUGAAUAUGGCCCUAAAAUUUGGGAUUUCAUUAGGGUUGGGUAGGGUCAGGCCGACUUAUUAACACUCUGGGCCGGCCCAUCUCCCUCUCUCAGACUCUCAGUUGCCAAUCGCCAUCGCCGUCGGACGCUCUCUCGCCUCGCCUCGCCUCGUCUGCUCUCGUCUCUACCCCCGUCGAUCAUCUCUCUGCAUCCUUCGCUCGUCGCCGUCGCCAUCGCUCGAGGUCGGUCUCUCUCUCUCUCUCUCUCUAGCUUUGCAACGCCUCUGUUAGGGUUCGCCUCUGUUGUUGUCCUUUUCGCUCCGCUUGCCCUAGCGUCCUCGAUCUGCUCCCUUUUGCUCCGUGAUUGCUUGCGCUCGCGAGAUCCCGCCCUUCCGUUCGCGCUCUGGCGAAGGGAACGAAUUGCUUGUACAAAGUAGCUGCGGAGCGUGAUAUCAAUCGCGUUCUGCGGAUUUCGUGUGUGUUGGGUGUCUCUGAUUGGGUGUCUGAAUUUUGGGUUCAGGUGAUAGUGCCGGACAAGUGGAAGGACGGAGCCAGCAACACCACCGAGGGCGGCGGCCGCAAGAUCAACGAGAACAAGCUCCUCUCCAAGAAGUCCAGCACAAAAGGCCAAGUCCACAAAGUUGUAGAGAUCGCGGGUUUAGAAAUCUACUGCAACUCCCCCAAUGGUGCUUCGAGUUUGAUGAUCAGGGACAAUGCUGGAGACAAUCAAUGCCUAGGCAAUGCUAAUUGUGAAAGCAAUCAGUUUCACCCUAUUCUAGCACCACUGAAUGUGUCAGUGUCACUUUCGGUAUGAGUUGUUAUUAUCUUGCCUAUCCUUCUUUCUCUAGACACAGGAGUAUUUUCAUGUCGAGCCCGUCAUUUAUGCACAAAUUUGGUCUUUCUUGAUGCUAAUAAAUGUGGCAUUGAAUGACCUAAAGGACCCGCCAGCUGUUAAUGCACACAGUUUUUCUUUCAUCA